GGGCACAUGGUGUAGUUGGUUAUCACGCCCGCUUAGCACUUGGUGUCUGCGGGCGGUGCCCGGUUCAAUUCCGGGUGUGUCCA